UUACGGGUGCGUAACGCGCCUGCAAUCUACCUUUCACAGGGGAAUAGCCCGGUAGAAAUCCGGAUUAAUGCCCCAUGGUAUUUAGGAAUGGCAUCAUUCCUUUAUUAAAGAUUUAUCGGUGAAAGAUGAGCAUGCGUCCCAUUAGUUAGUUGGUGUGGUAACGGCUCACCAAGACGAUGAUGGGUAGGGGUCCUGAGAGGGAGAUCCCCCACACUGGUACUGAGACACGGACCAGACUCCUACGGGAGGCAGCAGUGAGGAAUAUUGGUCAAUGGGCGCAAGCCUGAACCAGCCAUGCCGCGUGCAGGAUGACGGUCCUAUGGAUUGUAAACUGCUUUUGUACGGGAAGAAACACCUCUACGUGUAGAGGCUUGACGGUACCGUAAGAAUAA
rnacentral:rRNA from 1 species